AAGUCGUAACAAGGUUUCCGUAGGUGAACCUGCGGAAGGAUCAUUACCGAGUUAGGGUCUCCUCCGUGAGGCCCGACCUCCCAACCCCGUGUCUAAUGAACCUGUUUGUGUUGCUUCGGCGGAACGGCAGUCGUCCCUUCGGGGACAACCGUCGCCGGGGGGUUUCACGGUCUCACGACCGUCCCCUGGAGAGCGUCCGCCGAUGGCCCCAACCAAAACUACCAAACCCAAACCAUGAACUAAACAUUUUCUGAAUCAGACUUUUGAUAUACCAAACAAAAAACAAAAC
rnacentral:misc_RNA from 1 species